rnacentral:lncRNA from 1 species
CACUAAUUUCUUAAAUCCCACAAUUUCAUCCUCUUUUUUCCUUUUUAAUGUUUCGAUCAAACCAUAUGUAGGUUGCCUACGUAUCAUGUCCCUCAUGAAUCAGAUCAAACGUAGUUCUUGAAAAAUUAAUGGACAAAAUAAUCUAUGAAAUUAAAAUCCUUUUGUAUUUUUCAUUUAUAACUUUUUUUUGGUUUUUCAAUUAUAAAAUAGGAAGUACUAUAACAAAAGACUCGACAACCUUAAUUAGACUGACAUAAUCGAUCCUAUAAUACAAGACUAAAAUUAAAAGACAACAUAAGAUAUACCAAAAAAAUUAAGAAUUUUCCCCAAGCAGCUCGUGCAUGCAAUGAUCUUGACUAAAAUGGUUCUGGGGUAUUUGUAUCCAUACCUGAAUGAUAAAAAUAAGAUCAAAUAGAGUUAGUGACUGAAGACACAUGUGACGCACACCUCCUACUGAACACAUGCAAGACACGAUUGGGCUAUUUUUGAAAAUUAACCUACAUGGCCAAGAGUGGUUAUUAAUGCAAAAUCAACAAAGAUUACCUCAAAAAAAUGAACAUACCUCCCUAAGGCUUAUAUGGAUCCAAACUCCCGACAAUCAUGGCCCAAAAAAUUAAUUUGCAAUAACGGCCCAUUUCACAAAAACGAUCGAUUUGGCCAGAAGUAGCUAAAGACGCAAACUCCAAAAGGGCGGACGUUAAAGUAAUAUGACACAUAGUUGUGGACUCAAAAUUCUAAGACAUGAGUUAUUGAACCACUUAUUGCAAAAAUAAUCCCAUUUUGCAAGAAUGAUCGAUGUGGCCACAACUAGCUAGACAUGCAAGAUUUGGCUAAGACCCCGUAAAGCCAAUAACCUGAAACUUACUAGGAAGACUGGACCAUGUGGGUUGCCUACGUACCUCGCCCCGGAAGAUGAGAAUCAGGUUCGCGUAGUUCGAAAAAAUAUAAUUAAUUGGAAAACAAAAUUAUAUUUUUGUCUUUUUUGAAAAAUAACGAAAAAGUGUAAAAUCGUUAUAGGAUUUUCUUUUUCUCCUUUUUUUUUUUUGAAUUUUUUAAAAAAUAAUGGGAAUUGCAAAAUCUUUUUGAAUUUUUUUUCAUUUUCAUUUUUGAAUUUUUUGGAAAACAAUGGAAAAGUGUAACAUCUUAUUGGAUUUUUUAUUUUUUUAUUUUUUGUGAAUUUAUGGGAAAAAGAUGACAAAGUGUAAUUUUUUUUUUGUAUUUUGUAUUUUAAUUUUUUAAACUUUUUGAAAAAUAAUGGAAAAGUGUAAAAUAUUUUUUGAUUUUCUAUUUUUAAUAAUUUUUUUUUAUUUAUGAAAGACCGUGAAAGAAAAAUACGAGUGGGGCCUUGCCUCAUUUUCACCCUUCUUUCCAAAUAACGGUCCGCCAAAUGACCUUUUUACCCUCAAAUAUGCAACAUGUAUCACACAGGGAUGAUUGAGUGUCAUUUUGAGCCACGGGCCCAAUUUGACAAAAUUUGGAUAAGCUCCCUACAAAUGGACACGGUACCUGGGACCGAGCCCUACUAUGUGGAAAUGACAUGAUGCAAAUAAAAAUGAUCUAAAGGCUGAUCUAAGUUUGGGGCUCACUAACAAGGCAAUACGGGGUAGCGUAUGAUCGAUGGUGGCUGCUCAAGCUUUCCACCCACUCCAUACGUCCGACGCCUCCCCCCCCUCCUAAAUUAAGGGUAAUUCAACAAAGAGUUCGUGCACGGGGCGCGUGCUCCGAGACUUGUUGCAGAAAGAAGACUCAUGGUUAUGCAAAUGAUGGCAAUUUAUAAAACAGUAACACAUAAAGGAAAAACCUGUAAAUAAGUAAGCAACUAGCAAAUAAUAAAAGACAUAAACAAAAUAUAAAUCAAGUAAAGCAAACAAAACACAUAAAACCUCAACCGAACAUCCUAAGAGCCAACAACAUCAAAUACUAGCUCGAACCUGCAAGUCCUCAUCAGAGUCGCCAGAGAUGUCACACCCCUUUUUAAACAAACUCUACUAAACCCCCUUAAAUAAAUAAAAAGAUUUUAGUAAACGCUUGAAAAUGGUUUUACAAUUUUGAAAAGUGACAAAAAUUUAUGUUUAAAAGGAAAUAACUCAGAGUAGCCACCUGACAUUUGAUUUCGGUGUGUCAGGUCACCGUUUUUUCUUCUAAAAAUAAUAAUUUUCUUUCAAAAUACUUUGAGCUCUAAAACUAAGUCUACACCAGAGAUUCGGGUAAGGGGGUUCAUUUGACUUGGGGAGAAGGUGUUAGAAAAUUCCCAAGUCCCAUAACUAGUACGGUUGCGUACUCAAUCAAGUUGGUUUUUAGGACGUUCGAGUUGAGGUAAAACAAACACAGAAAAAUAAAUACACAAAAGGGCUCGAGGUCGUCCUCAUCUAAUAAAAGAAAAUGAAGAAUAAAGUGCUACACUAUGCUUCCUUCACCAACGCAUCACGCCCUCCGAAAUAUUUACAAAGUACUUCGGGGCAUUUCCCGGGUUAAAUAUUUACAAAGUUCACGGAACAUUCCCAGGAUGAAUUUAACUAAGGGAGGACCUCUCGCUUUGAAACCAAAAGCAAAUGAAAAAUCCUAAAAUUUGCCUACCCAGGAUGAUGUCCUAAACAUGCUCCUACCGAUUAAAUUAGUAAAUGUAAAGAAAGAAAUAACAGAAUUCAAUUUAAGCUAAUCAUUUUAAUUGCUAAUUAUGAAACAAUCUAUCUUAAGCCUCCCAAAUCAUUUUUGAACCUCUAAAUCCCAAAUUUCAUGACCCAAUUUUAUGGCCCACCAAGUAACAAUUCUUUCUAACAUUGUUGUUUAUUUAUCUCACUAAGAUUUAUCAUUCAAGCAAAUGGAUUUGACAAAAUAGCUUGAAAGUGAACCCACUUGAACCAGAUUGCAAAAUAAAUUGAAGAAUGAAAAAUUUCCUAUUUAAUUUAAACGAGUACCAAGAUAGCAUAACAAGCGAGUCAAAAUUUAAACAAAUAAAGUCUUGCACCAAAUCACUUCAUCAAAUCAUUUAUAGAAGAAAAAACACAUUAAAAUCAAGUCAUAAUUAAAAGAAGGGAGCAAGAGAGUGGACCUUUAAUUGUAUUUGAUGUUGAGAGUUUGCAACUUAACAGAACAGAGACCGACCAAAAAUGAGCAGCAAAUGAACUCAACCAACAGAAACCAUCGACCAGAGAACUUCCACGUCGACCUUGACGGGCACAAACAUUGUGAGGAUGAUUCACUGGGUUUUCAUGGAUUUUUGGACUGGUUUUCGAAGCUGUUGUCCUGAAGUUUUGGAACUGGAUUUUUGUGUGAACUCCAACUCGUUUCAUGGCUGUUUGGUGGCAGAAUUUCAGCUGGGUUUGGACCAGUUUUUCAGGUCGUUUUUUGAAGCUAUUUUGCGGAGUGUUUUCAGCUCUUUUUUGAGCUAUUUUGAGCAGAUUUAGUUGCUGUUUUGGGUCAGUUUCAGGGUGUAUUAGAGCUGGAUUUUAGGGCUGUUCGCAGCUGAUCUUUUGCUGCAUUUUAAGAGGUGCUUUGGGGCUGUUUCAGAGUCAUUUUUGGACUGAGAAAAGGUCUGGUUUGGAGGCUUAUUUUCAUUUCGUUUUUGGGCUGUUGUUUGAAGCUUUGGGGAUUGGUUUUCAUGGCGAAACAAGCUGGGUUUUGAGGUAUUUUCAGGUGGUUUUAAUGGCUGAAUAGGCGUGCUUCAUGGCUUCUUAGGAGUGAAGAAGAUGAAGCUCAAAGGGAAUAGCUCUGUUGAAGAAACAGCAGCGGCCGGAGAUUUUCGACUAUGGUGUUGUUGCGGAGAGUGGAUGGACAAGUUUGGAGGCUUAUUUUCAUUUCGUUUCUGGGCUGUUGUUUGAAGCUUUGGGGAUUGGUUUUCAUGGCGAAACAAGCUGGGUUUUGAGGUAUUUUCAGGUGGUUUUAAUGGCUGAAUAGGCGUGCUUCAUGGCUUCUUAGGAGUGAAGAAGAUGAAGCUCAAAGGGAAUAGCUCUGUUGAAGAAACAACAGCGGCUGGAGAUUUUCGACUAUGGUGUUGCUGCUGAGAGUGGAUGGAGAUGUCUAGGUUCUCUCCAGAAGAAGACUAGGUUAGCUUGUUCACUUUGGGCUUUUUUUGAUUCAUAGGCUAACGAAAUUGGUUUAAUUGGGCUAAAAUAAGACAAAAAAUUUUC